GAUGAACGCUGGCGGCGUGCCUAACACAUGCAAGUCGAACGGAGUCAUAAAGCGGAAGUUUUCGGAUGGAAGAAUUAUGACUUAGUGGCGGACGGGUGAGUAACGCGUGGGUAACCUGCCUUGUACCGGGGGAUAACACUUAGAAAUAGGUGCUAAUACCGCAUAAGCGCACAGCUUCGCAUGGAGCAGUGUGAAAAACUCCGGUGGUACAAGAUGGACCCGCGUCUGAUUAGCUAGUUGGUGGGGUAGUGGCCCACCAAGGCGACGAUCAGUAGCCGGCCUGAGAGGGUGAUCGGCCACAUUGGGACUGAGACACGGCCCAAACUCCUACGGGAGGCAGCAGUGGGGAAUAUUGCACAAUGGGGGAAACCCUGAUGCAGCGACGCCGCGUGAGUGAAGACGUAUUUCGGUAUGUAAAGCUCUAUCAGCAGGGAAGAAAAUGACGGUACCUGACUAAGAAGCCCCGGC
rnacentral:rRNA from 1 species